rnacentral:rRNA from 1 species
UACGUAGGGUGCAAGCGUUGUCCGGAAUUAUUGGGCGUAAAGAGCUCGUAGGCGGUUUGUUGCGUCGGCUGUGAAAUCCCGACGCUCAACCUCGGGUCUGCAGUCGAUACGAGCAAACUAGAGUGUUGCAGGGGAGACUGGAAUUCCUGGUGUAGCGGUGAAAUGCGCAGAUAUCAGGAGGAACACCGGUGGCGAAGGCGGGUCUCUGGGCAACAACUGACGCUGAGGAGCGAAAGCGUGGGGAGCGAACAGG